rnacentral:rRNA from 1 species
AUGAUUAGUGUACGAUUGAAUCGGGGGCGUCACAUGUAUUGUGCGGUGAAUUGCAUUGAAAAUCCUUAUAUUGCCAAUUACAUAAAGAAAAGAAAACAAAUAGAGGAUGAAGAGAAUACUAAUGAAAGGGAAGAGACUUCCCAAUAUCCUCCUAUUAUUUCUUAUGAUGAAUCAGGUAACGAGGAGGAGCUUUCUAUCCAACCAAUCUCAUUAAUAAGGAGCUCCAAAAAGAGGAUUGAACCCACACAUGAUGUGGUGAAGAAGAAGAAAAGAAAAAGGAAGAGACGUAAAAAGGUAUCUCUCCCAAAUAAAGUUGCUCCUAUUAUUGCUGUGCCUCAUGAAAAUGAAGAUGAUACACUUGAUGAUGAUCUGGUUAUGCCUAUUGCUUGUUGUGAUGAUUAUGAUUGGGAAGAUAAUGAUACUUCUUAUGAUCUUGAAAAUCUUUUUGGUACUUUCUUGAAAGAAUAUGAUAAUUGCUAUACUAUCGGUGAUAUCCAUACUAUUAAUGAUGAGAGUGAUUAUGCUUAUGAUAUGAAAAGGCCCAAGCUCGGGGAAGCUAUGUUUGAUGAGGAUGACAUAUUUGAGAAUAUAUUUGCUGCAAUUAAUGUUUGUCCCAAGCUUGGGGAAGCUAUGAUUAAUGAAGGUGAUAUUUUUAGUCUCCCAAGUUUUGAUAUGCAAGUUUAUAAUGAUGAUAGCAUGCCUCCUACUUAUGAUGAUUAUUGUGAUGAUACUUAUGCUAUAAAAAGUAGUGAUUAUAUUUAUAAAACUUGA